UGGGGAAUAUUGGACAAUGGGGGCAACCCUGAUCCAGCCAUGCCGCGUGAGUGAUGAAGGCCUUCGGGUUGUAAAGCUCUUUUGGCGGGGACGAUGAUGACGGUACCCGCAGAAUAAGCCCCGGCUAACUUCGUGCCAGCAGCCGCGGUAAGACGAAGGGGGCUAGCGUUGUUCGGAAUUACUGGGCGUAAAGCGAGUGUAGGCGGUUGCCGUAGUCAGGUGUGAAAGCCUUGAGCUCAACUCAAGAAAUGCACUUGAUACUGGGUGACUAGAGGACCGGAGAGAUAGUGGAAUUCCCAGUGUAGUGGUGAAAUACGUAGAGAUUGGGAAGAACACCAGUGGCGAAGGCGGCUAUCUGGACGGUUACUGACGCUAAGACUCGAAAGCGUGGGGAGCAAACAGGAUUAGAUACCCUGGUAGUCCACGCCGUAAACGAUGGGUGCUAGACGUUGGCGAGCUUGCUCGUCAGUGUCGCAGCUAACGCGUUAAGCACCCCGCCUGGGGAGUACGGCCGCAAGGGUUGAAAACUUAAAGGAAUUGACGGGGGUCAUAGCUGUUU
rnacentral:rRNA from 1 species